AGUGAACGCUGGCGGUAGGCCUAACACAUGCGAGUCGAACGGCAGCACAGUAAGAGCUUGCUCUUACGGGUGGCGAGUGGCGGACGGGUGAGGAAUACAUCGGAAUCUACUUUUUCGUGGGGGAUAGCGUAGGGAAACUUACGCUAAUACCGCAUACGACCUACGGGUGAAAGCAGGGGAUCUUCGGACCUUGCGCGAUUGAAUGAGCCGAUGUCGGAUUAGCUAGUUGGCGGGGUAAAGGCCCACCAAGGCGACGAUCCGUAGCUGGUCUGAGAGGAUGAUCAGCCACACUGGAACUGAGACACGGUCCAGACUCCUACGGGAGGCAGCAGUGGGGAAUAUUGGACAAUGGGCGCAGGCCUGAUCCAGCCAUACCGCGUGGGUGAAGAAGGCCUUCGGGUUGUAAAGCCCUUUUGUUGGGAAAGAAAAGCAGCAGGUUAAUACCCCGCUGUUCUGACGGUACCCAAAGAAUAAGCACCGGCUAACUUCGUG
rnacentral:rRNA from 1 species